rnacentral:lncRNA from 1 species
UCGAAGAAAAACUGAGAGGCUGUGACCUGACCUAGUUCCUGUGAAGGAUUCUGCCAAGUGACCCCCUCUGACUCUGAGCCUCUUGACGUGGAUUUUGCUCCCUGAGCGCCGCGACAAUCUGCGCCCGGUGUUGCUGUGACAGCUGGGGUGGCGAUUUCGCAGCUGCCAGCAGAGGGGUUCAGGUCAUCGUUACGCCUGACUCGGGCCCACAGGAGCGCCCAGAGGUCUUCCUGGAUCUGUGAAGCUCGGCUGAGACGUGGGAGGUGCCUCCUGCCAGAUCAGCCCCAGGAGAGAAGGGGACAGCUGGCCGUCUUUGCACCCGAGGAAGGAAGGGAAGAGGCUGGCACAGAGGUCCAAGCCAGGAGACCUACACCUCCACUUCUGAUAGUGGCUGGGAAAAGAGGGUCCGGACCCUCAGCUCCUCCAGAAGACGAGACCCCCUCCGGUGGCCUCCCACGAGCCAUGACCAGGCUGGAAAAAGCUGGGACCAGACCCACUGGCUAAUUUAAAGAUGGGGCCCAGGAUAUGGGGGUGAAGCUGGGGCGGGGAG